rnacentral:lncRNA from 1 species
AUGAGGAUUACAGAAGGAGAGAGGGGGUUUCAGGCUGUGCCCUGGCCAAAGGCCUGGUGGAACAGCUCUGCCUUGCAGGCCCUGCGGAAAGAUGUCAAGUCCCGCAGGGCCCUAGUCUCUUGUGACAGAGCCUUCCACCAGAUCGGGGCCACGGCCGAAAAAGCCCUGGCUCUGGUUGAGGCCAGCCUGACUUCUCUGUGGCCUGGGACCUCCAAGGUGUUUUUGUUUAAAGACCGUAAGGUCCUCCGUGGGACAUACCAGGAGAGGCGGUCCCAAAUGAUGAGAGGAUUGGACAAAUCCAUGGAGGAGGAGGAGGAGGAGGAGAAGCCUAUCAGUGGUCCCAGAGGCUGGAAACCACAGGGGCAAGGGGGCUGCCCUUGUGCUAGGGCCCCACUUUCAGGUUUCCCAGCAGGCUGGACCCCAGGGACGCGGGACGAGUUGGGCCAUUGGGCUGGUCCUGCAUCCUCUUCCUUGGUUCUUAGGAUACUGGUGGCUCUGGAGACCACGCUGCCUCUUGCGAAUUGCUUGAGCUCACCCCCAAAGGCGCAUUCCUCCGUUGUCUUCCGAAACGGACGGAUGCCAACAGCCACAGGUGCCCAGAGAGAGACCCAGUUUGUCCGGAGCCCGGUGUCCCCAUCCAGGCUGGCAUCUCCUGCGGCUUCUUCGCCGCCGCCGGCUGAGGGGCAUUGCCCAAAGAGAAGCCCCCUCCCUACCAUCUCCUCCUCCUCCUGGGCCCCGUCAUCCUCCUGGCAGCUCCCAGCUCCCUUGCGCCAGCAGCAGAGUCUCCCUCAGGCUCUCCCUCGAGAACAAAAUACUCCCUUCUUCUCCGCCUCGUGCCGCCCUCUCCGGAUCGUAUGGCUGACAAAACGUUUACCCAGCUGGGCCCUCCCGGCGCAUACAGUGGGCAUCUGUGUCUGGGGCAGGGUCAUGUGCACCAGCUGUUCUGUCACUAUUGUGAACUUGGGGGGAGAGGCUGGCUCCGUUCCGCCAUCUGCCAGGCUGCUGCAGCACCCUCCUCUCUCUGCCUGCCCCCCACCCCAUGAAAACGCUGCAUGGGGAGAUGGGGGCAGCAGCACAGGUGAGCUGAUCCACAUCCUCAGAGCACCAUUUGCAGACAGGUCGAGCGUCUGCUGA